rnacentral:lncRNA from 1 species
AAUCUGUUUGUGUGAUUCCGAUCUGUUCUUAUUGUUUUAGAUCUGUUCUUACUUGAUCUAAAUCUCAUCAUCUGUUAUCAUAUCAUCUCUGAUCUUGUGUUGUUUGAUCUCUUGAAACCUGAUCCGUGCAGUGCAAGUUUGAUUGAUUUCGUUAUUGUUAUUUUUUCUUUUGAAAAAUCUGCUCUUGAAUCUGAAAUCGAAAUCUAUCUCUCUAUUUUUGUGGUCUAGUUCGAAAAUCAAUC